rnacentral:rRNA from 1 species
AUUGAACGCUGGCGGCAGGCCUAACACAUGCAAGUCGAGCGAGCGGCGGACGGGUGAGUAAUGUAUGGGGACUGCCCGAUAGAGGGGGAUAACUACUGGAAACGGUGGCUAAUACCGCAUACUAUCGGAUAACCCAUAUGGGAUUAGCUAGUAGGUGGGGUAAAGGCUCACCUAGGCGACGAUCUCUAGCUGGUCUGGGAGGAUGAUCGGCCACACGGGAACUGGAACACGGCCCAGACUCCUACGGAGGAAGAAGUGGGGAUUAUUGCAAAAUGGGCGCAAGCCUGAUGCAGCCAUGCCGCGGGUAUGAAGAAGGCCUUAGGGUUGUAAAGUACGUUAAGCGGGGAGGCGUUACCCGCAGAAGAAGCACCGGCUAACUCCGUGCCAGCAGCCGCGGUAAUUC